AAAAAAAAAAAAAAAAGGAAAGAAAUGAAGCUGUAUCUCCCCAUCGAGACAGCCUGGAGGGUCUGCCUCAAAGAGGAUUGAGGGGGAAAUGUUCAAUUUUAUUGAUGUGUUCUGCUGGGUCCUUCUCUCCGGGACACUGUUUAGUGCACCGAGUGAAGUGGAAAAUAAAGAGCAGGUGAGCAAUCAGCUGUGAAAAGCUUUAAUGGACCCAGUACCCCUUUGGGAAUGAGGCAAGGCUCUUGCUGGCACUCAGGACCAACACUAUUCCAGUUCAGUGGGCUUUGUUUUUGAAAUGGGAAUUUAACUCCCUCAGGUGGCCCCAGGAUGGAGGAAGAGUACUGCCUUUGGCAACAGCGGCCCAGCGGCCCCUUUAAAGAGAACCAAGGCCGCCGUCCCAGAAGGAACCCCUUGGCUCAUCAGGGGCCUUUGGGAAUUUUGAGCUUUCUGGGUGGGUCACGUGACCCCGAGAACAAAGCGAUGUUGUGACCACCUGGGCCUUCAAAGUAAUGGAGCUGAGACCAUCCUGGAGCGGAGGCUACCACGGGCUGGUGUGGAUCCAGACCCAGGGGGCUUGGGACUCCUGCAGCAUCUCAGCAGGAGCCCCGGGGUGGGCGGGCCUCUUUUAAGGUCUCUGGAGUGUUCUAUGGAGAAUGAGGCCUUGGAUUUGGUCUAGGAGGCUGGGAAAGGACGUCUCGCUCCGAAUAUCGAGGAGGAGAAGGAUGACGAAGAGCAGGCCGUCUGUGUUUACCGUACUGCAGAGCCUGAGCUAACUACCGUAUUUCUUAACCGUGUGAGCGAUACCUCCACUCCCUAACACUAACAAAAAUUUGGUCUUUGCCGGUGAGCUUCUCUUCUCUCCUACCCUUUCAGGUCCUCCUGGCUACUGAGCUUCUGCAAAGUUUAAUUUUCAGACCCAUCCUGGGACCCUAUCAUUUAUCCAUAAAAGGCAUGGAAUCCUGACACGUGCUACGACAUGGAUUCCAAGUGAAAACAUCAUGCUAAGUGAAAGAAGCCAGAUGCAAAAGGACAAAUACUAUAGGAUUCUACUUACCUGAAAUACGUAGAACAGACACAUUUAUAGACACAGCUUAGACAACAGCCUCCGAGAGCCAACCAGAUUUCCUCCAAGACGAAGACCCACCCUGGCCAGCAUUCUACCACAGGAAUGAUUAAUCUGGGCUUUGGGGUCCACCAACCCCUCUUUGCUGUCUCCCUCUGGUGCUUCCCAUCCAAGAGCUAACAGGGAGCCCGCAGGGAAGCCCGCAGUGUGGUUUGCAGAGUCUGAACUGCACGCGGCUGAGCCCGGAAGGGCAGGUUUGGAUCUGAGAGACGGUACCUCAGAGGUGACAGGGGAGAACUCAGCCCAAUAGAGGGCUGGCUCCAUGCUGAGUGGCAGCCAGCCAACCAAUGGGAGUGGGACAAAGAGAAAGAAGGUGGAUCCUGAGCACCGCUGGGGAAACUUUCCUGGUAACUUGCAAAACCUGCCUCACAGUCUGGAAUUGAAACCCUGGCAACCAGUUGCCUCUUCCCAGUUGCCACUUUUCUACCUUGUCCCUGGGUGUUCUUGAAAAUACAUUUUCAUUCCCAAAGCAUUCUCUCUGUCUCUGCCUUGUGAUCACACAUGGAGCUACAAUAAAUGCUCACCUACGAGGGAGUGGGAAGGAUCAAAUGUGGUAAUGUACAAGAAAGGUCUUAGAAUUGUUCAACAGGUAAGGAGGCGCCGGCAUCUCACCCAGGGCUGGAGCCACUCCUGGUCUUCCCCAGCCUCCUUUGUGAAGGUCACCUUUCUUAUGGCCCUGGUGGUCCCCAUCAGCAGGUAUCUUCCACGGCCCUCCAGGUGGCUGUGAGACUCCUGGGCUUCUGGACUUGCCCCCAGGUAAACAAGGGCAGCAGAAGUACAUGCUGGAUUUAGACAGUAUCUUCCCACCUAGCUGAAAGGACCUUUGAGACCAUUAAGGGCAACUCCUUAAUUUUACAGAUAAGAUUCCUGAGGUUAGAAGGCCAGGGGACUUGGCUAAAGUCAGGUGAAGACAUAAAGGGACAACAUUAGGGUGUGAGCUCUUUGUUCCCAGCCUUCCCUUGUCAUCCUAAUCUCCCAAUACGGUUUUUGCCCCUUGAUCCUGACUGUCCCCUCUGGUGCCUUUGAAUGAUUGACCUACACUAUCUUGUGGCUGCCUUCGAGGGCAGCACACCUCCUUCCGAAGGCUCUCUCCAGGCUUUGGGGCUGCAAGAUGAUUAAUCCAAGGAGAAGAAAGGCAUGCAGAGCCCAUGGGACUCAGAUCUUGGGCUGGGUCCUUGUUCCUUCUCACUGUCAUCCUCAGAGCAUUUUUGGAAAGAAAUGGGACUAUGGAUUACUCAGAAGAUAGCUCUGGGCAUUUCUCAGUUUACAGGUAUCUUCUGGGCAUACUCAUUCGUGACUUUCAGACCAGAAGCAUUUCAGCCUGAAGAUGACCUUCAAUCAAACCAUGGAGCCAACAAGUCUGGGGUUUCUUGACUCCUAUUGUCUUGACUGGUCUAACAAACACCUCAGGGAAUUCUGAUUCAGGUGGGCACCUUCCUGCUGUGUCUUCACAUGGUCUUCUUCUGAGUUUAUUUUCAUAGGUGGGAAGUCCUCAAAGGAUUUUCAAUAUUAUCAGAAGCUACUGAUGACAUGGAAACAGGUGUAAUGGCUGAACGCGGCUGGAAGUAAUAACCUUGGUCAAGGUGAACAGGGUAGGUGAAGGUCAAACUGUUCCAUCUGAAGCAUGUAUUGAGUACUUUGUCUUGUGCUCUAUCACCCAUUCCUUCAUUCUUUCCUGAAUCUAUCAGUCUUUGCCAGGCAUCUAGAAUGGGCUGGGCAACUGCAGAUACACAGGUGAGUAGUGUUAUCAAGUCCCUGCUUUUGUGAGUUUACAGAUUAGCUAUGUUAACUAUUAAAAAAUGAUUCAAACAAACACAGCCCUUACCUUUACAAACAGAAAGGAUCCGGCAGGGAUUAGGAAAUCACUUCUGGAGCCAGACUACGCCUGCAAGAUCUGUGUAGGCAAAAAUGGGUGCCCACUCCUGAUUCUCUGUACCCAGGAAACUGGUGAUGGGGUACUGGUCCAGUACCUCCAACCAUGUUUGCCAGGAAACAGCAGACAAAGUGGACCAUAGUCUCCUCUCACAUCUCAAGAGGGUGCUUCUGUUGUGCAUUUUUCCAUAUGGGAGGAGCUCUGUUAGUGCAACACUCCUGCCCUCCCUGCAUCCCUUCACAUUCUCCUUCCCAGGGGAGGUGGAAUGACAGAGCCGAUUGGCAAGUUGGAAGAAGAAACUUGACAUGCGUGCAAGAGUCCCCACCUCUUCUCUUUCUUUUGGGAGUAAGUCGCCCCCUGGGAAUGUGUCUUCUGCUCGGCAUUUCUAGGGACAAGGUUUCCCCUGCCAGGGAGGAAUGUGGUUUCCCAGUGUGGCCUGAGCCUGGCUUGGUAAAUUGGUCUGAUGUUGGAGUUCAGUGUUAGGAAGCUUACUUGCCUAUAGUAACACUUGCUAAUGCAGAUUUAUAGGAAAUAAAGGUAAUGGUUUGAAUUUGAUAUGCCAACUUUUUCCUUUCUUUUUCUUGUUUCCCUGUUGAUUGAGAAUCUGGUGAGGAAACUAGAUCUGGUGACAUGGAUGCAAACUCGCCUUGUGCUUCUGUCUGCCAUGAUGCCUGCUGUUGGGAUGACUCAGUCACUCUUGAAACAUUGCACACCCAUUUCUCACGUGAUCCUUAUAACAACCUGUUGGCAAGGGCAGGACUGGAUUUAUCAGCUGAGGAGCUAAGGCCACAACUAUUAGUGCUUCCAGACUAUUCCAUAUUGUGAUACACACAGGAAGUUGAAAAAAAAGUAUACAUCUACAUGCAUAUCAAUCUAUGCAUCUGUACCCAUAUCCAUGCCUCACCACGGAGAAGGGAUGAGGCUGCUGGCACCAGAGGGGACAAGCUCAGAGAUCUUGGCUGUCCAAGGCCGUACUUGCUUAUUGAAAGCAGUGAGAAGAGCAAUAUAUCAGCAUACCUGUAGACCCAUUCUUUGCCCACCAGUUGGAAAGUUCUAGCUAGGAGAAGCAUGCUAACUAGUUCAAGGCCACACAGUUAAUAUACAGAAUUUGAACCCAGAUCCUCUGAGUCUAACUCUAAAGAAUCUCAAACACAGUCUUGGGGCGCCUGGGUGGCACAGUCGGUUGAGUGUCCGACUUCAGCCAGGUCACGAUCUCGCGGUCCGUGAGUUCGAGCCCCGCAUCAGGCUCUGGGCUGAUGGCUCAGAG